rnacentral:rRNA from 1 species
CGGGUGAGUAAUGCCUAGGAAAUUGCCCUGAUGUGGGGGAUAACCAUUGGAAACGAUGGCUAAUACCGCAUGAUGCCUACGGGCCAAAGAGGGGGACCUUCGGGCCUCUCGCGUCAGGAUAUGCCUAGGUGGGAUUAGCUAGUUGGUGAGGUAAGGGCUCACCAAGGCGACGAUCCCUAGCUGGUCUGAGAGGAUGAUCAGCCACACUGGAACUGAGACACGGUCAAACUCCUACGGGAGGCAGCAGUGGGGAAUAUUGCACAAUGGGCGCAAGCCUGAUGCAGCCAUGCCGCGUGUGUGAAGAAGGCCUUCGGGUUGUAAAGCACUUUCAGUCGUGAGGAAGGUGGUGUCGUUAAUAGCGGCAUCAUUUGACGUUAGCGACAGAAGAAGCACCGGCUAACUCCGUGCCAGCAGCCGCGGUAAUACGGAGGGUGCGAGCGUUAAUCGGAAUUACUGGGCGUAAAGCGCAUGCAGGUGGUUUGUUAAGUCAGAUGUGAAAG